rnacentral:lncRNA from 1 species
AAGAAAGUAAUUUCAGACGCGGAGACAGCGAAGACGAAGGUGGAACGCCGCCGAUAAACAAAUGGAUUGAGGUUUUUCGGACAAAGGUGCGAGAACUAUUUUGACUCUCGUGUCUUUUAUUUUUUAUUUUUUUAACGCGCUCGAUUUAUUUAUUUCCAUUUCUCUUUCGCUUACUAUAUAUGAUUGAAGAUAUGAAAAGUUUAAUUACCAUUCAGAUAUUCUAUUUACUUAUAUAAUCUCAUUACGAAAUUCUCAUAUAGUUUAAGGACAUUAAUAAAAGGCGAAAUUAAUAAAACAUAUUGUGCGUCUCGUGUUUUUACAAAAAGAAAAGAAAAAAGAAUGUCGUAGGGGACCAGGUAGGCGUUACUUUCGGGACUCAAAAACGUGCAACAAUACAGAAAAGAACCGAUGAGGGUAUUUUGGGUAAUUUUCCUAAUUGAAAUGAACAAAUACGCGGUCGUCACGGGUAUUUCAAGCUGGCUUCUAUUUCUAUCUAUGGUAUGAUGGUACUAUAUGAACUCUUUACGUGUGUACGCACGCACAUUGGUCAAAAAAAUGUAAUUUACUUCUUUCAUAUUUAAGGAAGGGUGUAACUGCUAACAAAGACUAAUUCUCAUUUUUCUUUGUCAAAAACACAGAACACACACGUAAU